rnacentral:lncRNA from 1 species
UCCCCCCAGACAUGAAGUUCUAAGCCCUAUGACUGGCACAGAGUGGGUAGAUGCUCAAUAACUGCUGAAAGAAGGGCUGUCUCCUCCACAUAAAGACACGCACUGCAUGGAGGCUGUACAGAGGCUGCAUCAGCAAGCACCUUUGACCACAGAGGCUACUCACAGGGAAGCGUGGAGGCUGGAGGAUAGAGCGUGGACCCUGGGGUCCAGCCUUAAAGGUGGGGCAGAUUAGCAAGUUUCUGGGAAGUGACUGUGGCAGGAAUGUUGGAAGAUGAUGAAGGUGAUCAAAGAGAGUGCUGUAGAUGGCAAAUGUUGCCAGAAAACCCAUGCGUGCGUCAGACUGGUGGGAGUUUCGAAGCACAAUCACAUUUGUAUGAUGAAUCUUGAACUACCCACCACAACAAAGUCCACCCACCUGAAAGUAGUAAAAAUGCAAAAUUUAGAACAGAGGGUAGGUACAAAAUGCC